UGCGCAAUCGAUCGCUGCUGAGUCGUCGAUUAGAGCAAGAAUAUUCCAAGCACGACGCCGACGCCAAAGACAUUGCCAUCGUUGUAGGUCGCCUCCGUGUAAUCCUCAGUCUCGAGAAGCAUCGCGACUCCAUUUGCAUGCUCUGCCCUCUCACGACGAGCUUGUACCUCUCGAAUUCCAGAUCUGGCUGAGAAUUGGCCGAUUCCCUGGCAAUGCCCGGAGACGUCUCUGGAACACACACCAGGCCCCUCAAUUUCUCUGUGAGCACUGCCACGAACGUGUCCCUCAAUACGGAACUUCUUCUUUGGCGCGUAGAGAAGAGGGCUUUCGAUCAAUGACCUGUAGAGGAAUCCCGAAUGAUCACGCAAGAAUCAGCUGAUCUGGAACGAUUGAUUCCACCCGUUUCUUCUUGUCGGCGUCUUCGGGGAGAGUCUCCAAUGCCGCCAUUUUGAUCGAUUCUUCGCGAUUACCCAAGAACCCCCCACGUCAGUCACUACGCGUUCGGCGGUGCUCCACUACUCGCAGAUUGAGCCCAACAAUCUGGGCGUGGUCAAGGACAUCGGCGAGAAUGUGGGGCUCAUCACUGGCUAUCCUCCAACAAGCUCCAUGCAUGGGUCAUCCUCUUCAUUCCUCGGAUAUGGCUCGUCAUCAGUGAAAGGAUCGCCCACUUCCAUACUGGCAAGUGUGUCUAGCAAUUUGCAUCAGUUCUAGCAACAGUGCCACAUUCUUCAACACCGGGGUUCUCGUCAAUGGCAGGCUUCAGUGGUGCCAUCUCUAAACCUCUUUCCUCUUUUAAAACCCGGGCUCGUUGUUGCUGCUUCUUUCUACCAGUCCUUUCACUUGCAUCAUUCACCCCAUAGGGGGCCUGGCACAUUUCCAAGGUUGGGUAUGUUGUGGAAAACUAUUGGAAGAAGGCCGUGGAGCAAGGUGCCGAUCAUCGGAUCACAAUGAGAAAGGUAAAUAGAAGAGAGGAGAGAGUGGUCGCCUUGCAUAAAUGUGAAUCUAGAGAGUUGGAUAGAAUUCAAGCACCUAGGCCAUGGUUCUUGGAGGCCGUGGGAGAAUGCAAGGUAGAUCAAUUGAUAGUGGAAGAAUCUGAGGCAAAUCGAUCAAUAUUUCAAGAAGAAUCAAGCAUUGAUCUAGCAGGCUUGGAUGAACCAGGGUCUGGGAUGAAGGAGAGAGUGGGGCCAACCAGGCACAGGGGAUAGAGUUCUCUUUGUUUUUGCAGGAGGUUUGGAAUGAAUGAACUAGUCAGGUGAAGUCUAUGUGAAGGUGAUAAAGAUUAAUUUGAUGGUGCUGAGGUUUGCUCAA